rnacentral:misc_RNA from 1 species
CAGGCUUUACCCACUUUCAUCCUCUUAAGUGCUUCCUUUACUUCUGAAGAUCUAAUCCUUCUAGUGUAAGUCACAUUAUUUUCUAUUGCACUGUAGUCUAUAUUCGCGCUAUUACCACUUUGACUAUGAUUAAAGAGAUCAUAAAAAUAAUUUCUCUAUAUUUCUUUAAUGUCCUCACAUUUCACCAAUACUUUUCCUUCUUU